rnacentral:rRNA from 1 species
GACGAACGCUGGCGGCGUGCUUAACACAUGCAAGUCGAACGGAAAGGCCCUGCUUUUGUGGGGUGCUCGAGUGGCGAACGGGUGAGUAACACGUGAGUAACCUGCCCUUGACUUUGGGAUAACUUCAGGAAACUAGGGCUAAUACCGGAUAGGAGCUCCUGCUGCAUGGUGGGGGUUGGAAAGUUUCGGCGGUUGGGGAUGGACUCGCGGCUUAUCAGCUUGUUGGUGGGGUAGUGGCUUACCAAGGCUUUGACGGGUAGCCGGCCUGAGAGGGUGGCCGGCCACAUUGGGACUGAGAUACGGCCCAGACUCCUACGGGAGGCAGCAGUGGGGAAUAUUGCACAAUGGGCGGAAGCCUGAUGCAGCAACGCCGCGUGCGGGAUGACGGCCUUCGGGUUGUAAACCGCUUUCGCCUGUGACGAAGCGUGAGUGACGGUAAUGGGUAAAGAAGCACCGGCUAACUACGUG